rnacentral:lncRNA from 1 species
UGGGGUUUGUGAAAAUGUUGUGGUGAAUACAGAUGAAUAAAAUCAAAAUGCUGACGCAAACAGAAAUGCAAACAUAGAUCUAAAAACGGGUUCAAAGACAGACUAGAGACGGUUGGUUAGUAACUUAAUUACAAUGUUUCCUAUCAUAGACCAACAAAAUAAACCCGACUCAAACCUCUAAUCCAACACUGUUAACCAACUAAGCGAAGGCUAAUAAUGUUUUCAUAAAAGCGAACUAAGCGAACACAAUGUUAACAUCAAAUCCAAU